CCAGAGAUGGAUUGGUGCCUUCGGGAACGUCUGACACAGGUGCUGCAUGGCUGUCGUCAGCUCGUGUCGUGAGAUGUUGGGUUAAGUCCGUAACGAGCGCAACCCUUGUCCUUAGUUACCAGCACGUUAUGGUGGGCACUCUAAGGAGACUGCCGGUGACAAACCGGAGGAAGGUGGGGAGUGACGUCAAGUCAUCAUGGCCCUUACGGCCUGGGCUACACACGUGCUACAAUGGUCGGUACAAAGGGUUGCCAAGCCGCGAGGUGGAGCUAAUCCCAUAAAACCGAAUCGUAGUCCGGAUCGCAGUCUGCAACUCGACUGCGUGAAGUCGGAAUCGCUAGUAAUCGUGAAUCAGAAUGUCACGGUGAAUACGUUCCCGGGCCUU
rnacentral:rRNA from 1 species